AGUGAACGCUGGCGGUAGGCCUAACACAUGCAAGUCGAACGGCAGCACAGUAAGAGCUUGCUCUUACGGGUGGCGAGUGGCGGACGGGUGAGGAAUACAUCGGAAUCUACUUUUUCGUGGGGGAUAACGUAGGGAAACUUACGCUAAUACCGCAUACGACCUACGGGUGGAAGCAGGGGAUCUUCGGACCUUGCGCGAUUGAAUGAGCCGAUGUCGGAUUAGCUAGUUGGCGGGGUAAAGGCCCACCAAGGCGACGAUCCGUAGCUGGUCUGAGAGGAUGAUCAGCCACACUGGAACUGAGACACGGUCCAGACUCCUACGGGAGGCAGCAGUGGGGAAUAUUGGACAAUGGGCGCAAGCCUGAUCCAGCCAUACCGCGUGGGUGAAGAAGGCCUUCGGGUUGUAAAGCCCUUUUGUUGGGAAAGAAAAGCAGCAGGUUAAUACCCCGCUGUUCUGACGGUGCCCAAAGAAUAAGCACCGGCUAACUUCGUG
rnacentral:rRNA from 1 species